UCCGGUUUUUCACCGGCAGUCCCUCUAGAGUGCCCAGCUUGACCUGAUGGCAACUAAAGGCAAGGGUUGCGCUCGUUGCGGGACUUAACCCAACACCUCACGGCACGAGCUGACGACAGCCAUGCACCACCUGUGCAUAGGCCCCGAAGGGCUGCCGUGUUUCCACGACAUUCCUGUGCAUGUCAAGCCUAGGUAAGGUUCUUCGCGUCGCGUCGAAUUAAACAACAUGCUCCGCUGCUUGUGCGGGCCCCCGUCAAUUCCUUUGAGUUUCAGCCUUGCGGCCGUACUCCCCAGGCGGGGCACUUACUGCGUUAGCGACGGCACCGGGAGGGUCGCUCCCCCCGACGCCUAGUGCCCAUCGUUUACGGCGUGGACUAC
rnacentral:misc_RNA from 1 species